UAAUACGUAGGUGGCAAGCGUUACUCGGAAUCACUAGGCGUAAAGCGCAGGUAGGCGGUUCGGUAAGUCUCUUGUGAAAGCUCCCGGCUCAACUGGGAGAGGUCAAGGGAAACUGCCGGGCUAGAGUGUGGCAGAGGAAGCUGGAAUUCCCGGUGUAGCGGUGAAAUGCGUAGAGAUCGGGAGGAAUACCUAUGGCGAAAGCAGGCUUCUGGGCCAUCACUGACACUGAUCUGCGAAAGCUAGGGGAGCAAACAGGAUUAGAUACCCUGGUAGUCCUAGCCCUAAACGAUGCUCAUUAGGUGUGGAAGGUAUCGACCCCUCCCGCGCCGAAGCUAACGCAUUAAAUGAGCCGCCUGGGGAGUACGGCCGCAAGGUUG
rnacentral:rRNA from 1 species